CAGGAGCAGGUGCUUCCUGCGCUGUGCGCCCGGCCCGGCCCGCUGCCCCGGCCUGCCGCAGGCCCGCGCCCGUGUUUGCUGGGCUCGGGCCUGCGUCUCCCCCGGGAGCGUGGGAGCCCGCAGGGAGGGGAUGGCCACACGCCACAGACACCAGCGGGCACGGGGAGCCACUCACGGAGCGUGGGUGCGGUGUGGGAAUGGCUGCCUGGGGAUGCUGCUCUGCCUGGCCUCACCCGAGGGUGAAGGUUAUGAGAGGUUUCUGGAGGCGUCCCAGAGGAGGAAACUGGGCGUCUGAAAAGCAUCUGGCGUGUCUCUCCACCUUAAACAUGAAGUGAACGUUGUGAGAUGGACAUACACCUCAAAGGCUGCAUUUCCCAGCAUUUCUUUGCAAAUGAGCUUCCCACACAAAGCUCCUUGGAAAACGUACUUCUGCUCAGAGCCCCUUCCAUGGCUUUGGCUCUCCUGUGCACUUGCACCUUUUCACAACCCCCUCUGCACCUGCAGAGGCUUUCUUGCAACUAUCGUCCCUUUGCACUGCCUCAAGGAGAACAGGGUGGCAGCCAUCCAUGAGGAAGAAAUCCACUUCCACACCAUACCGCAUCACAGGCAAGAGUAUUCCAGUCUGAGGAAUCAGGAUGUCACCCUCAUCCCCACAGCCAUCCCACCUCCCAGGAAUCUGCAGAGGACAAGAUCAAACUAUUACACAUUUCUUUUUUCCACCAAAGCUGAAGGAGAGGCAGCUUGUGGAAGUGUCCCAGGUUCCCUCAAGAGCAUUUUCUGGUUGGUGCUUUGUGCAGGUGGAAAUGCAGCUGGAGACAGAGCAUGGGAAAUGCAGACAAGGUGACUGCUGCUGGCAGCAGAGAUGAGCAAGGAGAACCAGGGCUGAUACUUUACCCUUGCUCUUAAGCUGGCUACCCAGCAGGACUUGCUUUGUGUUGUUACCUUGGUAGGUGGAGGGAGGGGUGGUUCCCCAGAGGCUGUAGUGUAAAAAGUGGGUAUUGAAUAACCGGUUUUCUGAUUAUCUUUAAUCCAGUCCAACUCUAGGUUUCCAGAUGACCUGUUGAUCUUCUGCAUCAUACCUAGGGGUAUUGCUCUGGCAGUGAUUUGGGUUUGCUUGUUAAUUCUACAGAAAACUAAUUUACAAAAAAAAAGGAAAAAGAAGAUUCUGUUGGUUCUUUCUGUAGCCUCUAGGAUCACAACUUCCAGUGCAAGGGAGGUGCCAGGAUCGGAUGGGUAGGAGCAGGCAGGAAGAGCAGGACUACCCUUUCACCAGCAGCCCAUGGUCAGAUCAGAUUAAACCUAAAUGGGAAACUGCACCUUGAGGGUCAACAGAUAUUAUUCCUGGUCAUUGUGCAGCCCCGUUGUCCCCAUUGUUCAUGUCUAUUUUGCAUGGGUGUAGCCCUCCUGGUAUGAGUACAGUUACUUGUGCAACAUCUGUACAGGUCUUGGAGAGAAGCUGAGGUUCACUGAUUUAAAAGCACAUCCUCCCAAGAGCUGAGCUUUAGUGCUGAAUUGUACAGAGGAUCAGCCAUGAACAGGGUCAACAUGAUCUAUCUGAAUUAAGCCAUCCAGGAGAAGAAAGCUUUCUAAAAAUCAUCUCACCUUCCAAUAAAUAAAAGGAUAAAUUUGAAAGAAGGAAAGCUUUUGGGCAUUGAUAAGGAAACAAGAGUGCUGGGUGAAAAUAAUCAGAAAUACCCUUCAGCAAAUUGCAGCACCUGCGCUUUAUCUACAGAUGGUUUUAUUCAGGUCAUGAUGAACUGUCAAUCCUGUACAUAAGAGCAAAAAAAGUGAAUCAUCAGUAUGAACUGAGAAAACACCCUGUCUGUCCUCAAUUCUGGCUGGCAGCGCAGGUAAUGAUUUAUUCUCAUUUCUGUGUAUUUCAUGUCGGCCUGGUCAAUAUUCCUCACAAUAAAAUCCUAAAGAGGAAUUUUAGUAAUAAAAAAGUCAGACAACAGAACAGGGGUUAGGAUCCCCUGAACUGAUCAGUCCCAGGGUGUUUGCUGGUGGAAGGGAGGUGCUGAUAACCUGGGCAGAUAUUCAGGCUUCCGUUUGUUUUGCUGCCCCACUUAAUCCUGGCUGUGGCUGAAGCCAGCAAUGCAUCAGUUAGAUUAAUGAGCUGAACUAAAACCAAUGCUCAAGCUUCAAGUACAGCUCUCCUGUUUAACACUGUGAGCUCCACUAUCAACCACAACAAAGUUCAGAUACAGCUCACCAUUAAGAAACCCCUUUUUCUCCCUGUUUGUUUUACUGCAGUGAUUAAGGAGAGGCUGUGACCUGAAGCCCUGGUGAUGGAGGCCUGUGUCAACCCUUAGGUUGGGCAGAGAAGGGGCUGAGCUCAUUCAGCUUUUUUCACCUGCUGCUGCCACCACAGUCUCUGUUCCCAUCCAAAGAGGGGCUGGGCAGUGAACUGCAACUCAGCUGGCUUCAGGGAGAAACCUCUGGGGAAACCCAGGCCAGAAAACAUUGUCUUGGCCUUAAAAGUCUACCAUUAAGUGCAAACAUUUCUUUAGGGGUUUCAUUUUGAAGUAGCUGUGACUGUUUUUUCAUGAUAAUAAAAAUUUUUCACAGCAUUUUAUUUAUUGUAUGUUUAGGGGUCCUUAAGGAAAGCCUGCCUCUUCCUUUGUAACUCAGUUCUGCUCAGAUAUUUUAGGAAACCACAGCACUGAAGAUGCACAAAGAGGAAAGCUGAAUUACAACUGUGAGAAGAAGGGAUGUGAGUAAAGACUGUGAGUAAACAAAAAGCCAUUUUUAAGAGAGACCAAAAAAAAUUCAACUCAAGGAAGAAAGGGGGAAAGAAAAGGAAGGAAAGGAACUUCCCUCCUGCCAAGUGUAUAUGCCAACCCCCCACUCUAAGAAACAUCACUUCUCAUCAAAGCAAAAUGACAGGCUCAUGGCUGAGCUAAAAUGAAGACAUCCACUUCUGAGAUAAGACUCUGAAAAAUACAAGUUAAAUCAACUGCUCUUCAUGACAGUGGUGCUGAAGAGACUGACUACAGUCAAAGAGUCAGAUAAACAGGUGGAGAGCACAAAAAAGGCAAUUCUAACAGCUGGAGAGUCACUAUCAAUUAAUUUUGACUAUAAGAAGGGUUAUCCCAGCUUGGCAAGAUUGCUAUGAUGAUACAGAAUUUUUUCCUCCAGUUUGAAAGUGCAUGAGAAGGGAGCACAGUUCCUUUCCACUGCAAAUAGGUCAUUAUCUGUACCAAAGUACUGCCAGGUGCUCUGUUACUGAAAUCUUCUUGCCUGGAAUAAGGGACCCAAAUUCAAGAGAACAGAAAUCGGCUUCUGCCACACUAAGCAUUUCACCUUCACUCAGAGUAUGAAUUUUCGAUUGCCCCAUGUAGAAUUUCCAUGCAUGUGCUGUGAGCAUACUUCAUCUACCACAUCCAUGCUGGAGAGGAUAUUUACCUGUGACAGUGUCACCUUUGUGUGGUGUUUCUCAUCAAGAAAUGCCUAGAGCCAAAGCACUAGCUCCUCUCUUGCCUUUCAGUUACCUGAUGAGGCUGCAAAGGGGCAGGGGAAGGAAACGGAGGGAAGGGAAGUAGCCCAGACUCCUUGUAACACAGGGACAGGAAGGUAUCAGUAGCAAGAGCUUAAGCAGAGCUACUGCAGAGCUCAGUCAGGCCAUGAGGGCAGGUGGGACUGCGGCAGCUGCAGCUAAUGUGGGAAGUGAUGCUGCCCACACAACUUGUGCAGAAGCCUGUAGCCACUGUGUUGGGACAUUUCCACCAGCUCCCAGUCGUGCUUGUUCUCCCAGAGCUCCUCCCUCCUGGAUCCACUGGGUCUGCAUUACCUGCAGCUUGCAGAUUUGACAAGCUCAGCCCUAAGGGAGUCACAGAAAUGAGAAGCUGGGAAAGCAUCAGGGUCUUUCACCAGCAGGGAAAUCCCAGGAGUUUUGAAAAGAGCAAGAAGAAAUCUUCUGACAUCUUGUGAGUUCUUUACUCACUCAUAAAUUCUUUGCUUGUAAGCUUCUCCAAAACUGUGAAAAUCUAUGAGACUGCCUUCUGUUAGAGUAGUAGAGGAAACUUGGGGGAAUUUCCCCUGUCAUGCUAAAACUCAGGGACCAUUUAGUGUGUUACGAUUUGGCAAACGUGACUGUAAAAAAAGAGCUCCUCUCCUCUUCGCAGAUGAGCAUCAGCUCACUGCAAUUCCACCACAGCCAAAAGGCUCUGGAUGAAACUGAAAUGUGAGGCAGGCCAAACUAUUCCUACAAAUGGAGCAUUGUUGGACAGUAUAUCUUAUUUGCACUGGUGUAAAUUAAAAUGUAUAUUUAUUUCCAAUAGCAUAAGGAGCUGACAUGAAGGAAGAUCAAAGCCUGAAUGUAACUAACACCAGAAGCUGCAUUUACGUCAGCCAGAAGAGUGUCUUCGCCUGGAUAUUUUGUUCAGGGUUUUCUGUAUCUCUAAGGUUUUAUUUCCUUUUCCUAACCAUAAAAAUUAUAAAAUGUGAUUAACAUAAAGAUAAGAGGCAAGUAAAGCAGUGCCCUGACUGAGCUGAGAGUACCCUGACUCAGCUGGAACUGAAUACCUGCCAGCUCUAAAACUCCUUCCCCUUCCUCCUCCAUGACAGAGGAUGUUUAGGGCAGCAAUGGAAGGCAGUGCUGUAAGUGUUGCCCUGGGCUCUGUAGUACCCUGAGACAUAACCACAAAAAGACUGUUCUCUGAAACCCAGCUGUUUUUUGAACCUUCUUCUGCUCUUGAACAGCACCAUGAAUACUUGAAGCAACCCAGCUGAAGGCAGAUGAACUAAACCCUGCGUGGGCAUCUGACAGUAAGGGUUGAAGCCCAUCCUUCAUUGCAGGGCAAGCACCAUUUUGGUAUUGCUGUAACAUCAUUUCUGCUCUACACAAUCAAGGUGUGAGAUUUUUGCCCCAUUGCAGCUUUUGCUAACUGAGGCAAGAGGACUCUGAGGUGCAGCAACCCUGCUCAGAACUGGCAGGGGGCUAGGUACAGGCCCGUGUAUGUGGCUGCAUCCAGCCCAGGAGCAAUCAGAGCACAGGUAGAAAGUGAGUCCAAGAGAGCUCAGCUGCUGCUGUAGGAGCACUGGACAGAUACACAGCCCAGGAGGCAACACCACCCCCAGGCACAGCACAGGGCAGCAGCCAACAACAUACAGAGAGGUCACUACAGACCAGCCCAUCAUAGCCCCCCAAAACCAAGAAGUGAUGACUGUGUUGAUCUUUCAUGGUAAAAAAAUAGCCUUCAGGAAAACAGAGGACCAGAGAAGCAGACACUUAAAUCAGCGUGUCUACUCAUGAGAGUCUGACUCUUUAAGUUCUAGAGAAGCACAGCUGUGUUAUUUUACUACCAUAGCUAGAAGAUUAUUUAUAUGUGUGCAGUACAAUUUUUAACUCACAUUUCAGGCAUCUGUGUUUACUCUGCUGGAAGCAGGUCAAGCUAGGAAGUGUUCUAGUUCAUACUGACACGUACAGAAGGCUGUUCCCUGCUUCUGCUGAGAGCCUCUGAAAAGAAAAUACAACUGUUUGGAAAUAACUUUUGAAGUGAGCACUCCAUCUUGUUUCUUUGUAUUAGAGAAGGAGGGAGGAACACAGGGAAAGGCAAGUCAUAUUGGCACACAGAAUUUGGACUGUCUGGAGAUUAAGGGGGAUGAAUGGAGGAACUGCAAUGCAUCCUUCAUAGAAGUAUUUGAGUCUUUUGCAUGUUCAAGCAACUUUCUCUCUUGCCCUUUCUCUUGGGAUCAGAAGCAGUGUGAACAAGAGAGUCCUCUUCAAUGAAACUUGGUGUAUCCAUUUCCAUAUCCAUCCCAGGAUAUAAACACGUUGAUUUUAAAAAUCAUCUCCUGUGUGGGAGGCAGUUCCCUCCACCUUUGUCAGAGGAGUGAGGAAAAGACAGGUGGUGUCAUGGCAUAAUCCUGCACAGCUUCAGGAUGGAAGCAAGGUGAAUGCAAACCCUGAACAGACCAGAAUGGGAAAUAAGAUGAGAGUGAGUGCAGGACUCAGACAAACAAAGCCUUGCGGGAUGCUGAAGUUAGCAUCUGCAGUAAUCUGUAACUCUAUCACCCUGAGCUCCACAGUGCCACAGGCAGCCAUUGCUGCAUGGAUGUCAGUGUAGUUGCAUAAGCCACUGCAAGUCCUGCACCUACAAGCCAAGGAGACCUCUGGCACCCCUUGGUGUGGUUCUCAAGUGUACUUGAAAAUCACUGUGCAUGUCUGGGCAGUUUCCAACAAGCAGCCUGCAGAUGAGGAGUCCCUGUAUUGCACAGCUGGGACUGGACCCCUUUGCUGGGACCCUCUGGGUCAUGCUGGCACUCAGUAAAUGUCUGGCACAGUCUUCCCAAUGGGCUCAGAAUCCUACUUGCAUAGCCUGAUGUACUCAGGACAUGAAGCCACAGAAACCACUCUGUGAAAUCUUUUUUCUAGGCUACAUCUCACUGAACUCCUUCCACUAAACUAAUUAAAUGCUAAUUUACAGGAA